CACGUAGGGGGCAAGCGUUGUCCGGAUUUAUUGGGCGUAAAGAGCUCGUAGGCGGUUCGGUAAGUCGGAUGUGAAAUCCCGGGGCUCAACCCCGGAACUGCAUUCGAUACUGCCUUGCUUGAGCACUGGAGAGGAGACUGGAAUUUACGGUGUAGCAGUGAAAUGCGUAGAUAUCGUAAGGAAGACCAGUGGCGAAGGCGAGUCUCUGGACAGUUGCUGACGCUGAGGCACGAAGGCCAGGGGAGCAAACGGG
rnacentral:rRNA from 1 species